rnacentral:rRNA from 1 species
UACGUAGGUGGCGAGCGUUAUCCGGAAUUAUUGGGCGUAAAGAGGGAGCAGGCGGCAGCUAAGGUCUGCGGUGAAAGCCCGAAGCUAAACUUCGGUAAGCCGUGGAAACCGAGCAGCUAGAGUGCAGUAGAGGAUCGUGGAAUUCCUAGUGUAGCGGUGGAAUGCGUAGAUAUUAGGAGGAACAUCAGUGGCGAAGGCGACUUUCUGGACUGUAACUGACGCUGAGGCACGAAAGCGUGGGUAUCGAACAGG